CCUACGGGGGGCUGCAGUAAGGAAUAUUGGUCAAUGGAGGAAACUCUGAACCAGCCAUCCCGCGUGAAGGAUGAAGGGGCUCUGCCUUGUAAACUUCUUUUGUCUGGGGCGAAACAGCUCGAUUUAUCGAGAACUGACGGUACCAGAAGAAUAAGCACCGGCUAACUCCGUGCCAGCAGCCGCGGUAAUACGGAGGGUGCAAGAAUCACCCGGAAUCACGGGUGUUAAAGGGGGCGAGGACGGCAGUGGAGAAAGGCUGUGGCUUAACCAUGGAAUUGCCAUUGAUACUGCAGAGCUUGAAUGAGGUUGAGGUUGGCGGAAUGUGACAUGUAGCGGUGAAAUGCUUAGAUAUGUCAUGGAACACCGAUUGCGAAGGCAGCUGACUGGACCUAUAUUGACGCUGAGGCACGAAAGCGUGGGGAGCGAACAGGAUUAGAUACCCUUGUAGUC
rnacentral:rRNA from 1 species